rnacentral:rRNA from 1 species
UACGAAGGGGGGCUAGCGUUGCUCGGAAUCACUGGGCGUAAAGCGCACGUAGGCGGAUCGUUAAGUCAGGGGUGAAAUCCUGGAGCUCAACUCCAGAACUGCCUUUGAUACUGGCGACCUUGAGUUCGGGAGAGGUGAGUGGAACUGCGAGUGUAGAGGUGAAAUUCGUAGAUAUUCGCAAGAACACCAGUGGCGAAGGCGGCUAUCUGGACGGUUUCUGACACUAAGACUCGAAAGCGUGGGGAGCAAACAGG